CAGCCGCCGCGGUAAUACGUAGGGUGCGAGCGUUAAUCGGAUUUACUGGGCGUAAAGCGUGCGCAGGCGGCCCGUUAAGACAGGUGUGAAAUCCCUGGGCUCAACCUAGGAAUUGCGCUUGUGACUGGCGGGCUCGAGUACGGUAGAGGGGGGUGGAAUUCCUGGUGUAGCAGUGAAAUGCGUAGAGAUCAGGAGGAACACCGAUGGCGAAGGCAGCCCCCUGGGCCUGUACUGACGCUCAUGCACGAAAGAGUGGGGAGCAAACAGGAUUAGAUACCCUGGUAGUCCACGCCCUAAACGAUGGGUACUAGCCGUUUGGUGCGCGAUAGCGCUGAGUGGCGAAGCUAACGCGUGAAGUACCCCGCCUGGGGAGUACGGCCGCAAGGUUGAAACUUAAAGGAAUUGGCGGG
rnacentral:rRNA from 1 species